UCAUACGAUGAAAUGCGGGUGCGUCACCCACAAGCUUCUUGUACCGGGCUUGAAAGGACGUGUAAAGCAUUUUCCACUCCGACGGUGCUGCCGCGACAGGUGCCGAUGUAUUCGGGAUAGAUUACUACUUCUUCAGAACGUUGGUCCCAUUCUUCCGUCAAAUCUUCCAUCUAUCUCUUGAUUUUUCAAAGCAAUUAGGUUUCCAAAGUCCACAAAUGAAGGAGUCUCAAUUUAACGCGGCGUGGAAACGAUGCCCCUCGAUACUAGUUACAGUUAGUAAACGGAGAUGGUGGCAAAGAAGAUAAGCAUUGGAGUACCAGCGAAACGCAACAUGUUUGAUGCAAGCUUCAGGGCGUAAGUGGUAGUUUCUUUAUUGUUUUCAAGAUAAAAUAAGCGAAAUGAAGCUGAAGUGUUUGUUUUUCAAUUUUAACAAUUGAAGGGAAGUGCCAUUUUAUCAGAUGGAGCUUAUCGCUUUUAUAAACUUGUACAUUGCGUCUCUUAUAUAACAUUGAUAUU